rnacentral:tRNA from 1 species
GCAGACGUAGCUCAGUUGGGAGAGCACCGCACCAGAUGGGCGGUAUGCGCAGGUUCGAGUCCUGCCGUCUGCACCA